rnacentral:rRNA from 1 species
CGUCCUAUUAGCUAGUUGGUGAGGUAAUGGCUCACCAAGGGUUCGAAGGGUAGGGGUUUUUAGUGGAAGGUCCCCCCCACUGGCCUUGAGAUACGGGCCAGACUCCUUCGGGAGGCAGCAGUAGGGAAUUUUGGUCAAUGGGCGCAAGCCUGAACCAACCCUGUCGGGUGCAGGAAGAAGGCUUUUUGAGUUGUAAAAUGAUUUUGUACAGGAGCAAAAAAAUUCCUGCGGGGGUUUUUGAGAGUUAUGUAAGAAUAAGCACCGGCUAAUUCCGUGCCAGCAGCCGCGGUAAUACGGGAGGUGCAAGCGUUAUCCGGUUUUAUUGGGUUUAAAGGGUGCGUAGGCGGCUUAUUAAGUCAGUUGUGAAAUCCUAGUGCUUAACGCUAGAACUGCGAUUGAUACUAUUAGGCUUGAGUUAAAAAUAGGU